ACGUAGGGUGCGAGCGUUAAUCGGAAUUACUGGGCGUAAAGCGUGCGCAGGCGGUUUUUUAAGAUAGGCGUGAAAUCCCCGGGCUUAACCUGGGAACUGCGCUUAUGACUGGAAGACUAGAGUACGGCAGAGGGGGGUGGAAUUCCACGUGUAGCAGUGAAAUGCGUAGAGAUGUGGAGGAACACCGAUGGCGAAGGCAGCCCCCUGGGUCGAUACUGACGCUCAUGCACGAAAGCGUGGGGAGCAAACA
rnacentral:rRNA from 1 species